UAGGCAAGCCCUUGCAAACAAAGGAUGCUUUCUCUAAACCACAAAUCUAUUUGCACCAUGAAGACAGAGGCACUGUACUUACCCUUGCACAGCUAAGGAGCAGUCAGCUUGGAAAAGCUGCUUGUGGCCCAGGGGAACGUAACCUACCUGCUCUAGGGAAGGAAGGUAGCAGCGGCCAGCUGUCCACAGAAGGGAGCAAGGCUCUCCUUCAAGGAGCAGGAGGGCUCACAGCUGCUCUCCUGAGAGCAAGGAUCUGCAAGGCAGCCUGGCUUCAACCAGCUGGAGAAAAUCAACUGCUUUCCUCCAAGAGGCUAUAAAAGGGUGAGGCUGAGGAGGUGCAUGUGCUAUAGGAGCAGGCAGGACGGCCUGGGGGAAGAGGUGGGGUGUUUGCAUGGUGAUGUGGUGAGCCUCAGCGUAAGCAGUAUGCAGAGGAUGUGGGGCUAUAGCUGCCUGGCAGGCACCAAAGGAGGUUGAGGCGGGCAGCACAGCUCCACAAACAGCCUGACCCAUGGAUGCCAGCCAGAGGAACUGCCCCCAGCUCUCCUGCAGCCCUCCGGCUGUCCUCGGGGGCCACCCCAGCUGCAGCUGCUCCGUUUGCUGGUGCCGCCUCUUCAUGGUGCGUCUCCUAGCUGGAGCACUGCCCACGGAGCCGAGACCACCUCCCUUUGGCUGCGGGGGCUGCGGGCACUGCCUGGUGCUGACCACCCGGGGCUGCGAGGAGCUGGUUCAAGUCUGGUCCCGCAAGGACGUCCAGGGAGGCCGAGACUCCUUUCAUUGGAAAAAUACAAAUGGAAAUGAGAUAAACCCUUAAACAGAGCUAAGCAAGAGAUGAAGCAUAUAGUCACAGAGUUGACAGCAGCUUUGACUUGCAGGGAUCUUCACUCCAGUCAUUUCCAAUAGUUGAAAUUGAGUGUAAUUUAGUUUUUAGGCAUGUAAAAAUUAACUGUCUCAGAAAAUAAACAUGCCAUGUACUUAAUAAAGCA
rnacentral:lncRNA from 1 species